UAAACAUUGAUAUCUUUUACAUCCAUUAUCCGCCCGGGAACUACGAGCAUUAGCUUAAAACCCAAAGGACCUGGCGGUGCUUAAGACCCCCCUAGAGGAGCCUGUUCUAGAACCGAUAAUCCCCGUUCAACCUCACCCUCUCUUGCUUAUUCAGCCUAUAUACCGCCGUCGUCAGCCCACCCUGUGAAGGAUUAAUAGUGAGCAAAAUUGGCAUAGCCUAAAACGUCAGGUCGAGGUGUAGCAUAUGGGAGGGGAAGAAAUGGGCUACAUUCUCUAACAAUAGAGCAUACGGAUAAUAUAUUGAAACAUAUAUUUUAAGGUGGAUUUAGUAGUAAGUAGGAAAUAGAGUGUCCUGCUGAACCCGGCCCUAAAGCAUGCACAUACCGCCCGUCACUCUCCCCUAGCCUAAUUAAAUCUUUAAAUAUUUUAAUAAAUUUUACCAGCAAAGAGGAGGCAAGUCGUAACAUGGUAAGUGUACCGGAAGGUGUACUUGGACAAACU
rnacentral:rRNA from 1 species